rnacentral:rRNA from 1 species
UACGUAGGGUGCAAGCGUUAAUCGGAAUUACUGGGCGUAAAGCGUGCGCAGGCGGUUUUGUAAGUCUGAUGUGAAAUCCCCGGGCUCAACCUGGGAAUUGCAUUGGAGACUGCAAGGCUAGAAUCUGGCAGAGGGGGGUAGAAUUCCACGUGUAGCAGUGAAAUGCGUAGAGAUGUGGAGGAACACCGAUGGCGAAGGCAGCCCCCUGGGUCAAGAUUGACGCUCAUGCACGAA